AGAUGUCUAGUUUAAAUAGAACGUUGCUUUGUGGCGGCAAAGGCAGCAGAAGCUGACAUCUA
rnacentral:tRNA from 1 species